rnacentral:lncRNA from 1 species
GUGGACGCACGGAUGCACUGUUGUCACGAACGCUAAUUUCGGUCACUCUUCAUUUUUGUCAUGUGGGCAUUGGUGUGGAGAGCAGAAAUCUUGAGGUGAAAUUCUAGAUUACGCGAAGUAUACGGUUUGAAACUUGGGGA